CACGUGGGAACGUGCCUUUAGGUUCGGAACAACACAGGGAAACUUGUGCUAAUACCGGAUGUGCCCUUCGGGGGAAAGAUUUAUCGCCUUUAGAGCGGCCCGCGUCUGAUUAGCUAGUUGGUGAGGUAAAGGCUCACCAAGGCUACGAUCAGUAGCUGGUCUGAGAGGAUGGCCAGCCACAUUGGGACUGAGACACGGCCCAAACUCCUACGGGAGGCAGCAGUGGGGAAUAUUGCACAAUGGGCGAAAGCCUGAUGCAGCCAUGCCGCGUGUGUGAAGAAGGCUCUAGGGGUUGUAAAG
rnacentral:rRNA from 1 species